GGGCCCGCACAAGCGGUGGAGCAUGUGGUUUAAUUCGAUGAUACGCGAGGAACCUUACCAGGACUUAAAUGUAAGUUGCAUGAUUCAGAAAUGAAUCUUUCUUCGGACUACUUACAAGGUGCUGCAUGGUUGUCGUCAGCUCGUGUCGUGAGAUGUUGGGUUAAGUCCCGCAACGAGCGCAACCCACGUCUUUAGUUGCCAGCAUUUAGUUGGGCACUCUAGAGAGACCGCCGGUGACAAACCGGAGGAAGGUGUGGAUGACGUCAAAUCAUCACGGCCCUUACGUCCUGGGCUACACACGUGCUACAAUGGCCGGUACAGAGAGCAGCCACUACGCGAGUAGGAGCGAAUCUUCAAAGCCGGUCUCAGUUCGGAUCGCAGUCUGCAACUCGACUGCGUGAAGCUGGAAUCGCUAGUAAUCG
rnacentral:rRNA from 1 species